rnacentral:lncRNA from 1 species
AGGAAUUUGGAAGAGUUUAGAGACCCUGACAGAAAGAAAGCACAGAAAGACCCCACUCAGAAGGUACCACACCUGGCUGCAUGGCUUUAGACCAGUAACUCACAUGAUGAACAAUGUAAUGUGUCUAGAGAAGUGCUGGGCUUGCUGAGGGAGGAGGAGAAUUGUGUCCUGAAGGUGCUGCUGGACCCACCUAACAUGGGUUGUGGAAAGAGGGGGAACAGUGGAGAAUGAGUGGAUAUUACCCAGUGCUGCCAUUAUUAGCAGCAGCUAGGCACAUGAGCGUGGAUAUCUGGAGCAGAAAAAGGAAGACUGGAGUCACUGACUCAGAUCUAAGCCACUGAUUUCCCAAGCUGCAGGAAUGUUGGAGACUGAAACUGUGCAGCUGAGUCCCCACAGGAAAUUGCUCCUGGCCUUAACGGAGUUGCUUCCCUCAAGUUUUCAUCAGUUCCCAGGGAAAUGACUGGUCAGUGUAAGGAAACAAAGGCCAGCCUCCUUGCCUCAAUUUGGGCCAACUCUGAUGGGCCGUUAUAUCUGAAGACAUCUCAAGAAGUCUGUGGGGGAUUGGCUGAGUCUGCUACAACAACAUUGUUUUCAACUUUUCCUUCUGCUUAAUAUUACUGGCUUCACUCCCUCACACGUAUCACUCCUGAGCAUUCUCUAAUAAACGUUCUCCAAAACAGGGGUUGCAGGCUUAGAAUCUAAUCACCAAAGCAUUUGGUGUCAGGAGUGGUUGGAGAACGCAGACAAUGAAUGUGAUUUUGGAGCUGCAUUACUUGCUGGCCAGCUGGCAAUAUGGAAACUAUUGCUGGUGUCAGGUGAAACAUGGAAGAUCCCUGGCAUUCUAUAGCACUGAAACUAUUAUUACUUGAUCAGUGGUGAACAGGGAUGGGAUAGCAGUAGAAGGAAUGCACUUAAAUAUCUCAGGGUUUGUUAGAUUCUGAGAGGACUGGUACUUAUGAGGAUGAUGGAAUUGAAUGGCUGUUGUGGACUGCAAUCUCAUGCCCUGGAGAAAGACAGUGAAUGACUUUGAGUCAGUAAUCAGUAAUUUGAGAGAUACUGUGAAUGUCAGAGGAGCUCUUUAGGAACAUAUAAAGAGAUUCUUAUCUCUGUGAUCAAGGACAGAAAAACCUGAGGGUCAGUUCUAGGCCAUAAUUUUCAGGAUGGCAAAGCUCCAUAGAAGGUUGAAGUCUCAGAUGCAGAAAGUCUAUCAUGUCAAGGCCAUGCCCUGGUUGAGAGUCUUAGAAAGGGGAUACCUGGGUGGGUGCACUAAAAAAAACCCUUAAAACCCGUUUUGCCUGGAACUCUCUGAGCUGGUAAAUGUUCAAGGCUAGCAUGCCCACCCCCUAAAGCCCCCACCAUUAAAAACUGCAGAGGCCUGUGCUUUGUAAGACAACAUGUACCCCUCAGGAAUUACCUCCACCACCCGUCCUGGCCUAGUAUGAGACAAAUAGAGUCAAUUCCAACAUAAUCUGUCCAGGAAAGAUGGAGCCUGCUAAGGGAGGAAAGGGACAAUAUAAUAAAUCAGCUGUGACACCUGGCCACAUAAUCCAUAUGGGACUGGAUCCUGAAGAUGCUGAAUUUGUAGGGCAGAGCAUGAGGUUGGGUAAGGGAGAGCAUAUUGAUAGUGGACCACUGUCCUAGUCUACAGUAUUUAAUGCCCUGACAAAAAUGCUGGUUGCAUUUGCACCUUCUAACACACGGCUAGGAUGGCUCUUGGAAGACUGGAGAAGGUUAUGACCCACACUAAAUAGAAAAGCCAGAACUUUUGUGUAGAAGAUGGUAGAAAAGGACCAAAAGGCCCCAAGGAUGAGUACAUUCAAGAAUGGAUGUAUUACAAAACAUUGCAAAUACUCCCAGCUGACUACAUUCCAGGGACAGGACAGAGGACACUCUAUUGACUAAAGUGAUAUGUAAUGCAUCACUCAGACAGGGACCAGCAUCACUGAGAAGUUCAGUGGAGGCUUUCUCUGUAAGCCAGGGACCUGCUGCUAGAGAACUGGGCUCCCUCACUACAACAGGGAUGAUGGGAUCCUGAAAUCAUAAAGGCCAGGUGGUGGUGCUUAAUAUCAGAAGCGAGAUGCAAUGCAAUUAUCAUAAUGAAAAGCAAUGUCAUAAUAGUAGUUGGGGGGAUGUGACCCACACAGAGCCAUGGAGAUGGUUUAUUGGACAUAGCAAGAUAGAUGGACAGUCAUCAAGGGAAUCACUCAAUCUAUACAAUUAAAAGAAAUCAAGGAGGCUAAGUGCAGGUGUCCCUCUAAAGAGUCACAGUCCCUUAUCAGUGUCUGGACAUGAGCCACUUCUCAGACUGGAUGCCACUGACUGAGGGAGAGGCCAGAUCUCCAGGAGGAAGGACCUGCAAAAUCAUGGCAAAUAUAUAUGACAAUGACUCCUACAGAUUUUCCCCAAAGGGACCUAUGGCCAUUUAUUCAGGUAACCUUACAAUGGGGAAAGAGUAGUACUCAGACACUUGUGAGUACUUCUGGAUACAGGGUCAAGGUAGCACUGAUACCUAGGGAGGUAAAGGGUUAUUGUGGCCCUCCUAAGAAUGGGGGUAGAUGGGGACUGGUAAUAAAAUGGAGUCCAAGCCUAGGCCCAACUCUUAGUGUAUGUUUGUGUAUAUGCAUAUACGUAUAGUUGGGAUAUAUAUGCUGAUAGCUAGUGAAACCCUCCACAUUGAUCCUUUGGCUUGAGAGUGAAGAGUUACCAUAGUGGGGAAGAAUUUGAAACUGUCCCCACCCCUAUUACAACAAGAUAAUAAAUAAAAGGCAAUGUUUUGUUUAGGGGAAAUGGCAGCAAUUAAUACCAGCCUUACAGGGGUAGUGAGCCUCAUCAUAUCCCCAUUAAAUUAAUCAGUUUCUGGCCAAACAAAAAAGACAAGAAAACCACAAACAAACAAAACAGGUUAACAGUUGACUUCUGCCAACUCAACCAGGUAGUAGCUCCACUUGCAAUUACUGCGCCAGAGUAGUAUCUUACCCAGCCAAUGAACACAGCUAAUUAUUAAUACAGGGCGUGUGGCUACAGAUCUGGCAAAUGUGCUCUUUCCCAUCUUUCUCAGAAAGGAGAAGCGGAAGUGGUUUACGUUCACAUGGAACAGACGACAGAAUACAUUUAAGGUCUUAUCUUGAGGCUAUGUUAACUCUUCCUUUUCUGUGAUAAUAUAAUCUGAAGGGACCCAAAUCAUCUGAAUGUCCUGAACAUCAUCACAUUGAUCCACUAUAUUGAUGGCAUUGUGUUCAUUAGACUGGAUGACCAAGAAGGGGCAGAUGUAUUGGAGGCCUUGGUAAGACACGUGCUUCAGAGGGUGGGAGAUAAACCCCACGAUGAUUCAGAGUGUGGGGUCAUGGGGAGGAUUAGGGCUCCUGUGUAGAUAUAGAGCAUACUGACAUUUACUUAACCCCUACUAUAUGUCAUACCUUGGAAAUGUGUCCCCUGCUCUUUGGGACCCUGACAGAGAAAACUAGAGUUAAGUGCCCAGAAAGAGGAAGCCCAACGUGUCACAAGAUGAUUUCAAUUACAGCAGUUGUCUCCCUUAUCUGCAGUUUCGCUUUCCGAAGUUUUGGUUACUGUUAGUCAACGGUGGUGCAAAAACAUUAGGUGGAAAGUUCCAGAGAUAAACAAUUUAUAAGCUUUAAGUUGUAUGCUACUCUAAGUAGUGUGAUAAAAUCUCCUGCCAUCCUGCUUUGUCCUGCUCCAGAUGUGAAUCAUCCCUUUGUCUAGCAUAUCCACACUGUCUAUGCCACAUGCUCAUUAGUCACUUAGAAGACACCUUGGUUAUCAGAUUGACUCUCACAGUAUCGCAGUGUUUGUGUUUAAGAAACCCUUAUUCUGCUUAAUAAUGGCCCCAAAGUGUAAGAGCAGUGAUGCUGGCAUAUUGUUAUAAUUGUCCAGUUUUAUUAUUAGCUACUGCUGUUGAUCUCUCACUGUAUCUAAUUUAUAAAUUAAACUUUAUCAUGGGUAUGUAUAUAUAGGAUAAAACAUAGUGUAUACAGAGCUUGGUACUAUUAGAAGAUUCAGGCAUCCACUGGAGUCUUGGAACAUAUCUCCCAUGGAUAAGGGGGGAAGUAGUAUAUUCUAAUUCUACUGCUUUAAUUGUAGGUAGUAUUCUCUUAAAAUCUAAAUGAUAUACAACGCCAGUUCUCUACAAGAAAAUCAUAACAUUGCUUGCUGUCAUUGGGUGGUAUGGAAAUGAUCUUUUGCCUAGAGUUUAUAAAGAAUCUUUUACUUAAUGAGCUAAAUGACCAUGAAUAAUACAUUUAAAUUAUGACAUACUUUUCCUAUUUACCAUUUGCUUUUGUUCUUUUAUACCAUAAGAAAUUAAUGAGGCUGAGAGUCUUAAACUGUGUUUUAUGUAUUUAAAAUAAUUAUGAUUAAGGGUCUUUUACACAUGUGUAUUUAUCAUGAAUUCUUGUUCAAAGAACUAUUUUUUAUGGUUCAAGAAGCAAAAUUAAUUUAAAUCAGCAGCUAAUGCACAGUUCUCAAUUCCAUGAGUCAACUGGAUACUGCUGACAUUUUUAUAUGGAGCCUCCUUUAAUGUAAUAAAAAGUAUGGCACUAAAUGGUGUCUGAUAUGGGAAGGGGUAGAAUACUCAUUGUCUGAAACCCACAUGGCGAUGUUCUGGGUCAUGUCGUGAGCCAUAGGUAGCACUCCGUUGGCUUCAUGUUCUCUAUUGUCUUAUAGUUGACUCGUAGUGACAAUGGAAUGGUGUCAUCAGUUGCUAAUUUUUACAUUCAUAUGUUGCAAAACUAAGGUGGCUAAUCCAUGAAUGCGCAUGCCUGUCAUUCUCUAUCAGAAUAGCAAAUAAAAUUCAUUAUUGCAUGCUCAGAAUCCCUAACAUAAGCCAGUAAAAGCAUUACAAGGAACUUGCCUUCAGUGCUGUAUACAUGUACUGUGAGCUUGCAUUUGGUCUGAGUAUUCAGGACUCCAGGGCUCAGCCUCUAACAGGGCUGGAUUCCUUAGCAGAGUAAGAGCUUACGGCUCUGUGCAGCUCUCUCUGUGCAUCUGCUGGCAGCCAGGUGCUCCUUGUAGGACAGAGUAUGUAAUUAUGAAUAUUUUAAAUGUGGGUAGUUGAUCCCUUUUCUAUUCAGCAUGUAGCUGUGAGUGAAGCGGCAGACAAUGGCCAGAAUACUCUUUGUGUUUGCCUGAAUUUAUCUGAGAAUACUGAAGUAAAGAGCCAAAGGGCUCUAUUCUCCCCUUCCCAGAUACACAGGGAAGAACAGAAUCCAGUCUUUGUCUGGGUGGUUAAUUUUUAAAAUGAUAUGUGAAGGAUAAUGCAUGAAUAACUAACAGCCCUGGGGGGCUCAGGAAAAUUGUAUUUCACCAGGAGGAACAAAUAUAUGCUGUUUUUGAAAUGGAAGGGCUAUACUAAGGAUUCAGAUAUGAAGAAGUAGAUUUUUGAUAAGAAGAUAUUGAGAUACAUAAAACUGGUAUCAGAGGCAGCAAGGAAUGUAAUAAAAAUAUUCUGGCUUUGAGCCCCAGAUGUGCCACUCACUGACUAUGCGAUGUUGGACUUUAGGUCAUCUCUCCAAGCCUUAGUUUUCUCAUCACCAUAAUAGGGAGAUUAGGCCAGAUUAUCUCCCUAGUUUCUUCUUAGUCGACUUACCUGUGAUCCUGUGACAUGCUCUCUUAAGAUAAAUGUGCACUCACACCUCUUUUCAAGGUGUGAUCGCUAAGGAGUGACUGCUACAGCUCAAGAAAGACUUUUGUUGAGUGCCUAAUGUUGAGCCAACACAGGAUCAAGCAGUAAGGGUAUAAGCAAAAAAAGUUAUCAACUGUACUGGUGGUGCUGAGAUGAAGAAGAGGCCUGAAACAGAGGACAAAUUGGGAGCUGUAGAGUAUGAGCUUAGAGAACAUCAGAUGGGAGACGUCAGUGUAGUUGCACAAGCAUGAGGAUGAGAUUUGAACGAAAAUGUGAGCUGAGCUUUAGAGGAUAGAUAGGAUUUGGGUAGGUUAAAAAAAAAAAGAAUAGAUCAUUCCUGGUUGGAGGCUGAAUCAGUCAGGUUCCUUGUAGGAAACAGAUGAUUCAAUCAAACUGGGUACUGAGAAGAGUUUAGUAAAGAGAUCAUUUACACAGGUGUUGCCAGGGCUGAGGAAAACCAACACAGGUGGUGCUGUACCCUGGGCUAGUGACAGUGGUGAGCCAUGACCACCCUGAAAUAGCAAGGGGUAGGCGUGGGGACCACAACCAGACCUGACUGUCUGAAGGGAGGAGAAGCCUUCAGUAGAAGGAUUGUUGGAGACCAACAGAUUGCACACUGGCAAGCAGGAAUCGGGGAAAAAAAUGCCCAAAUAUCUUUCUUCCCUCUCCUUGUAUUAGUCUGUUCUCACACUGCUACU